rnacentral:rRNA from 1 species
AUGCUAGUCUUACUUAUGUUACGGUUUCUGUUGCAGGGCAUUUACGAGAUCAAGGCUGCCAAGGAAUUCCCCGACAUUGAUCCUGAGCAUCUCAAGGCUGCCAGGAAAUUCCCCAAACUUCGUGUCAAGGAUGCCGAUGCUACGGCUCUGAAUGUCUUCAAGAUUCUCCGGGACAGUCCAGUCGAUGGUCAUAAAGAUGUAACCCUACGUGAAGUGCGCAUGACUCUGAGGACCUUGGCUGAGAUUCAGGAAGAAGAAUGA